rnacentral:misc_RNA from 1 species
CAAAAACCUAAACCAGUUAACCGAAAAUUCGACUCUACUUUGAAAAAGAAUAUCACCGACGAUAUCAACCGAUGAUACCACAAAUGCACAAGCCUAUAACAUUGAGAACAGCCCAUCGCGCAAAGAAGUCGGCUUAUUUAGAUUACAUGUCCGAUGAUGAGGUUGCUUUGUUAAAUGCCUUCGGCGAUGUUGGAAACUCUGAUGAGUGGGAACCGGAAGUAAGUGGCAAGAAAAAGAAGAAAUUAUCAGUUGACCCCGAAGAAGAGACAGUAGGUGAUAGGAA